AACAGGAUUAGAUACCCUGGUAGUCCACGCCCUAAACGAUGUCUACUAGUUGUCGGGUUUUAAUUAACUUGGUAACGCAGCUAACGCGUGAAGUAGACCGCCUGGGGAGUACGGUCGCAAGAUUAAAACUCAAAGGAAUUGACGGGGACCCGCACAAGCGGUGGAUGAUGUGGAUUAAUUCGAUGCAACGCGAAAAACCUUACCUACCCUUGACAUGUACGGAAGGCCGAAGAGAUUUGGCUGUGCUCGAAAGAGAACCGUAACACAGGUGCUGCAUGGCUGUCGUCAGCUCGUGUCGUGAGAUGUUGGGUUAAGUCCCGCAACGAGCGCAACCCUUGUCAUUAGUUGCUACAUUUAGUUGAGCACUCUAAUGAGACUGCCGGUGACAAACCGGAGGAAGGUGGGGAUGACGUCAAGUCCUCAUGGCCCUUAUGGGUAGGGCUUCACACGUCAUACAAUGGUACAUACAGAGGGCCGCCAACCCGCGAGGGGGAGCUAAUCCCAGAAAGUGUAUCGUAGUCCGGAUCGCAGUCUGCAACUCGACUGCGUGAAGUUGGAAUCGCUAGUAAUCGCGGAUCAGCAUGUCGCGGUGAAUACGUUCCCGGGUCUUGUACACACCGCCCGUCACACCAUGGGAGCGGGUUUUACCAGAAGUAGGUAGCUUAACCGCAAGGAGGGCGCUUACCACGGUAGGAUUCGUGACUGGGGUGAAGUCGUAACAAGGUAACC
rnacentral:rRNA from 1 species